rnacentral:tRNA from 1 species
GGGGCUGUGGCUCAGCGGUCGAGCACUCGCCUGGCAUGUGUGAGACCCUGGGUUCGAUCCUCAGCACCA